rnacentral:rRNA from 1 species
GAUGAACGCUGGCGGCGUGCCUAAUACAUGCAAGUCGAGCGAACAGACGAGGAGCUUGCUCCUCUGACGUUAGCGGCGGACGGGUGAGUAACACGUGGAUAACCUACCUAUAAGACUGGGAUAACUUCGGGAAACCGGAGCUAAUACCGGAUAAUAUAUUGAACCGCAUGGUUCAAUAGUGAAAGACGGUUUUGCUGUCACUUAUAGAUGGAUCCGCGCCGCAUUAGCUAGUUGGUAAGGUAACGGCUUACCAAGGCAACGAUGCGUAGCCGACCUGAGAGGGUGAUCGGCCACACUGUAACUGAGACACGGUCCAGACUCCUACGGGUGGCAGCAGUAGGGAAUCUUCCGCAAUGGGCGAAAGCCUGACGGAGCAACGCCGCGUGAGUGAUGAAGGUCUUCGGAUCGUAAAACUCUGUUAUUAGGGAAGAACAAAUGUGUAAGUAACUAUGCACGUCUUGACGGUACCUAAUCAGAAAGCCACGGCUAACUACGUG